UACGACCCAGCGGAUUGGUCAGCUGGAUCAGCGGGUGUGCGUGGGGGAUGUGGGGAGCCUUUAGAGGAUUCGGCCGUUAUGGUUGAGCGGAUGGGGGCCGCACGAUCCAGCGGAUUCGGCAGCUGGAUGAGCGGGUGUGCCUUGGGGGUGUGUGGUAACCUUUAGCUAGAGUUGGCCGUUAUGGUUGAGCGGAUGGGGCCGCACGAUCUUGGAGUACUAAGUAUGUUAAAGUAACACUUAACGGACCUCUCCAAAGGCGUCAUGUUCAUGGCACUAAAGAUGUAAGUCUUCGUUCGUAGGUCAAGAUGUCCCAUGCCCCUACGUUCUUGUCCCCUGUUCUAGGUUCAGUACAAGACGUUUGUGAAACAAUGUCCCCGUUAAAAACGUUGAUCUUCUAAUACCCUCUUCCGGUACCGUAGGUCGCCACCGACCCCCUUCCUCAACGUGCCCCCUAGACCCGACUACCCGCAUCCUAAAAGACCACGACCCACCUCCCCCUCCUAGUCACCUAGUGCACUCCCUUUCCUACCGACCAACAGCCCUGCAACGUUGCUCUACCCCUUCGACAUGAACGGAAGAAAUCGUGCACCCAAAGAGGAUAAAGCAGGGUAGCGCCGGUACCAGAAGGGAAAAUCACCAGGCCACUACUUAGUUGUCGAACUGUCGAACAGAAAACUCCUACUUAGUCGUCGAACU
rnacentral:rRNA from 1 species